GCAAUUGCGCCCCUUGUUUUGUUCCUUUUCUCUAUCAAAUUGUGAUUGUGAAGCUCCAAUCGUUUCCGAGACUAUUAGAACUCAGUUUCCCUUCUCCCCAUGUAUCUUUCUCUAUUUUUCUAGAGUUUUACGUUAAUUUUAUUCUGUUUGAUUGCUUUGUUGGCAUCUUUAUGCUGCUAUUGUUUCAAUCGAGUCCUUCGCGAUGAUGGAUUGAAAGGUGUAAAGGAAAUUAGGGAUUGACGUUGUGGGUUUUUAACAAGGUAUAGAUUACUUGAGAUGAGAUUGCAAAAAAUAUCAACUGCAUGCAGUUGAUGCUUGCUUGAAAUUCUACUACAUUGAUGUAUAACGCUAUGAUCGUUGCGAUUUGGUUUGUUCUAUUUUUCAUUUGAAACUAUCUUGGAUUAUCGCAGCGCUAGCUUUCCGUUUGUUCCCGGGUUCCCAUCGAUUUGCAUUCCACUUUCCCUUACACGGUUCAGCUGUUUCAGUAAUCUUUGGCUAAAACUUAAUACAAAGCAGUACAUAUACUUAUCUCUUUGUUCUAAUAAUUUGGUGAAGCAGCUGCAGGCUGUUUAAUCGUAGUGGAACGGAGGCUCUCGACCCACAGUGAUAUAUCGCCUUUUGGGGAGCGCCCAUGAAUCAUAAGAAUUUUUUUCAGCAACAAUGUCUAUGCACCGAAUGGUAAUAAUUCUGCUGCAGUCGAUGCCCACAUGCCUGUAUUACUUGUCUUCUUUUCCAUUGUUUCUGUUUAUCUGGUGCCUUCUGACUGUUCUCUUUUGGAGCUGGAGCAUGUUGGAGAAGCAGUGGAGCUCCAAUGCAUUGAACUCCUUUGGGAGAAGGCUGUGGAGCUAAAGCAUGUUGGAGGAAAAUACAAAGCUUGAAAAGGCGGCUCGUUAGAGAGAGGAGGCUUAUAAACCACUUAAGCUUCAAGGCUGCAAUGAAUUUGAGACGCUUGCCUAUAUAAGAGAUACUUACACCUUCAUAGAAAAAAGGGCAGAUGGUAUGGACAGGGAGAAGGGAAAUACACUCUACUCAGAGAUGAUGAAGGCUUAAAACUGGGGAUUUCUGUCGGGUUUAUAGUGCCCACUUACGUGGUAUUAUGCUACGAUCUUGUACUUUGGAAAUUACUACCGCAAGGAUCUUUGGGAACGACAGGCCUUGCCGCCUCUGCGAUUGCUGCCACGGCAUGCUCUGUGAUAUUGUUAACCAUAGGCGUAACUUUGCUUUUCUCACUCUCAUAUUGCUGCUGCUUCCUUUUAUAUGUAGUUGAGAUGAUUUACUCACAAAAAGUAGAUGUUAAUCUUGUUCGGAGAAACCAAAAGUGUUGUUGAAUACUCAGGUUUCUUCCUGCACUUGGUAUACAUGACAAAAAAAGCAGUGAUCUAUACGAUCAUAGUCUUGACAGAAGCUUAUGUACCGUUUGACGAACUAAUGAACAGCCAAUUUAA